AGAGUUUGAUCAUGGCUCAGAUUGAACGCUGGCGGCAGGCCUAACACAUGCAAGUCGAGCGGGGACUUCGGUCCUAGCGGCGAACGGGUGAGGAAUGCUUGGGAAUCUGCCUGGUAGUGGGGGAUAACGUUCCGAAAGGAACGCUAAUACCGCAUACGUCCUACGGGAGAAAGGGGGGGAUCUUCGGACCUCUCGCUAUCAGAUGAGCCCAAGCGGGAUUAGCUAGUUGGUGAGGUAAAGGCUCACCAAGGCGACGAUCCCUAGCUGGUCUGAGAGGAUGAUCAGCCACACUGGAACUGAGACACGGUCCAGACUCCUACGGGAGGCAGCAGUGGGGAAUAUUGGACAAUGGGCGAAAGCCUGAUCCAGCCAUGCCGCGUGUGUGAAGAAGGCCUUCGGGUUGUAAAGCACUUUAGGCGAGGAGGAAGGUUCGUCACCUAAUACGUGACGGAAUUGACGUUACUCGCAGAAUAAGCACCGGCUAACUCUGUGCCAGCAGCCGCGGUAAUACAGAGGGUGCAAGCGUUAAUCGGAAUUACUGGGCGUAAAGCGCGCGUAGGCGGUUGUGUAAGUUGGAUGUGAAAUCCCCGGGCUUAACCUGGGCACUGCAUUCAAAACUGCACGGCUAGAGUAUUGGAGAGGAAGGUAGAAUUCCAGGUGUAGCGGUGAAAUGCGUAGAGAUCUGGAGGAAUACCGAUGGCGGAAGGCAGCCUUCUGGCCAAAUA
rnacentral:rRNA from 1 species